AUGACUCUGGCUAUUGCGACCAGAGCCCACCUCUUGGCAGCUCACUCAUCAGAGGGGCCUUUCUGCUUCUCUCCUCCUUUUUGUGUUUCAUCCUGCAGAGAUGCAGGUCCAUGGAUGCUAGAAAUGUCCAUCUACAGCGGAGACACCCUUUCUCUGCUGGCCUGCGUAAGUGAGAGGAAGGGUCUGGCGCUCCACUCCCCUCGUGAGCCACCGGUCCAAGAACCCCCAAAUCUGGGAAUUGCCAUCCAGCGUGCACGCAGAGAAUCACAGACUUUCAGACUUUAUCAGACGGCAAACUUUAAUCCUCUGUGAGAAACUCUAAUUUCUUUGGCACAUCCACACCGAUUAGAGCUCUGACAUUGACAAAUGAAUUACUGAAAUCCAAACACUCCAUCUAUACUGCGUUUGCCUGACUUCACAGGAAGAAACAGUUUGCACUGGACGCAUUCCGUGAUUUGUUCUUAGGGCACUUCAGAUGGCUCCUAAGUGAUCGGGUCACUCCUUUUCCAAAGUUCACACUGUAUCUUCCAACAAUUUCUUCUGGAAUCUGCGCUGGCUCCCAGGCCUCCACGUGCUUCCGCUUCGGACAAUUGAGCCAACGUUUGCUUGAAGGUUGAUGUCCACCCCACUCCCAUCCUCUCUGGCUCCUGGCAAUCUACCAAAGGUGGUUCAGCAAGCACAUCACAGGUUUUCUCAGACCCUGCACUGGAAUCCCCUUAAACCAGGAAGCUGAGCUGCAUAAAGAGCACCUAGUGGCUCUCUGUUCGUCUGCUGUGGCUUCAAAUUCCUGAAGAGGAGAACGCCAGAGCUGAGAGGAGGCGGGGAGCUGCACGUUCUGUCUGUUGCCUCUUUACAUAAGUGCCCUUAAGCUCGGAGCCUUGUACGUGACUCAGUUCCAGAUGCACUUUCAAAGCCCUUUGGGUUGUUUUGCAUUUGUUAUAAUCCUUAACUUCUCACAGCUUUGAUAAGAGUUGAUUUUGAAACAAAUUACAGAGAAGACAGAAGAGAAACUGUUUUUUCUUUUCUUCAAAAUGGUUGAUUUACCUUGGACUGAAGCCCAAGGAAGGCGGGAGGCUUCCAGUAAACAGGAGUUCACCUUCAUAGCUUCAGAUGCCUGGGCCUCUCGAUCCCUGCAAAAAAAUUCCUCCUUCAUAUUUAGCUGUUGUCAAGGAUCAUCUUGUCUGUGUUCUGACUCUACUCCCAUCUGUUCCCUUCACUCUGUGUCACUCACUGUUAGACUGCAAGACACCCAGGACCAGGGGCCCCACUGACUCUUCACAAUCCUGAGUACAAAGCCCCGUGCAGAAUGGACACCGUCAUAUUGACCAAUAAACAAUGGUCUUGGUUAGUCA
rnacentral:lncRNA from 1 species